UUUAGGUUUCACGUUGAUCGAUCUCCUCUCUUGUCGUCAGGCGCCGGCGCGUUCCAUCCAUGGCCGGAUUCCCGUCCUUGUUAGCCGGUCGUCACCUGCUUAUGAUGAAAUCGUCCCGUCAACGCAACCAAUCUCGCUCUGCUCCGUUGUUGCAGCCGCCGGGAACUCCAGCGAUCCAGGAGGACCUUUCCUUCCGCGGGAUGGAAGAAGGCCGACAGCCACCGCCGACCCAACUAACCGCCGCCCAGAAGAGAUUCGGGGCAAUCUUCCUUAGGGGUAUGGCUGCUACGUAUAGCUUGGCAAUGGUGGUUUCGCUCUUGAUGAUGCGAUUUGUGUACCAGGAUAAAGAAAUGCAGGACAACAUUACAAUGAUAAUUUGUUUGAUCAUUUCUCUCGUGCCGGGAGUAUUCUUUUUUGCGGUAACACACGAAGAACUGUAGACACCUACUCCAACCUAGAGCAUAUCAGCAAUCAGCACGAAUUUCCGUUGCGUUAUAUGGAAGCAAUACUGUCAUUUUGUAGUGAAUCCUUUGCAUAAAGGACGUACAUUGUUCAUUAUAUUUGUCGUCGAUGUGCUAUCUUAUGCAGUUACGGUCAUGGUUUUCAGAUUUGCAACAGGGGAUUGCAUUUAGUCUUUAUAGCCUUUGAUGUUAGGGAACGGUGAUACCUUUGGGUGCCUAAUCGUCAUCUUUGAUUUUUUGGGUCAUUAAGAUGUAACUGUUGACGUAUAAAUGUAUUGCCUAGUCUUUUUCAUUA